GCAGGAUCAACCAGGUAGCAUUCCUCACGGACAUCGGGUAGCAAGGCGCCUGACACGCCAGUGCAACACCGAGUGUCGUUCGGUCAAAGCGCGUUCAGCGCUAGUUCCGAGCAGAUAGGGUUCGAAACCCAUUGCCCCCAUCGUAUUCUGCUUUCCCGAGGUCGGGCAGGCAAUCGAGGGCUGCGACACUGCACGACGUGUGAGUGCCGCAGAACGCGAUCGUCGCCUAGGGGUUCACCCGGAGCCGCACCGCACAAACGGGUAGCACCGAGGCAAACGGUAUAUAUUUCGACAAAUGAAUUCCAUCAGUAAGGUAUGCAACACAGGAAACCGUAAAAGGUGGACGAGGCUAAUGUCGCUCUCGCACCAAAGAUUGAAGAGAAACGCACGGGAGGAUGUCGCUGCCCCAAGCAGGGAUCCA
rnacentral:misc_RNA from 1 species